rnacentral:rRNA from 1 species
GACGAACGCUGGCGGCGUGCUUAACACAUGCAAGUCGAACGGAAAGGCCCUGCUUUUGUGGGGUGCUCGAGUGGCGAACGGGUGAGUAACACGUGAGUAACCUGCCCUUGACUUUGGGAUAACUUCAGGAAACUGGGGCUACUACCGGAUAGGAGCUCCUGCUGCAUGGUGGGGGGUGGAAAGUUUCGGCGGUUGGGGAUGGACUCGCGGCUUAUCAGCUUGUUGGUGGGGUAGUGGCUUACCAAGGCUUUGACGGGUAGCCGGCCUGAGAGGGUGACCGGCCACAUUGGGACUGAGAUACGGCCCAGACUCCUACGGGAGGCAGCAGUGGGGAAUAUUGCACAAUGGGCGGAAGCCUGAUGCAGCAACGCCGCGUGCGGGAUGACGGCCUUCGGGUUGUAAACCGCUUUCGCCUGUGACGAAGCGUGAGUGACGGUAAUGGGUAAAGAAGCACCGGCUAACUACGUG